GCCGAGGUAGCCAAGCCCGGAUUACGGCGCCGGUCUUGAAAACCGGUUUCUUCGGAAUCAUGAGUUCAAAUCUCAUCCUCGGCGCCA
rnacentral:tRNA from 1 species